UGGGGAAUUUUGGACAAUGGGGGCAACCCUGAUCCAGCCAUGCCGCGUGCGGGAAGAAGGCCUUCGGGUUGUAAACCGCUUUUAUCCGGGACGAAGGAGUGGGGGUGAAUAGCCCUCAUGACGGACGGUACUGGAGGAAUAAGCACCGGCUAACUACGUGCCAGCAGCCGCGGUAAUACGUAGGGGGCUAGCGUUGUCCGGAUUUAUUGGGCGUAAAGAGCGUGUAGGCGGCCAGGUAGGUCUGCUGUGAAAACUCGAGGCUUAACCUCGAGAUGUCGGCGGAAACCAUCUGGCUAGAGUCCGGAAGAGGAGAGUGGAAUUCCUGGUGUAGCGGUGAAAUGCGCAGAUAUCAGGAGGAACACCCGUGGCGAAGGCGGCUCUCUGGUACGUGACUGACGCUGAGACGCGAAAGCGUGGGGAGCAAACAG
rnacentral:rRNA from 1 species